UAAAUAAAUAAAUAAAUAAAAUAAAUAAUCUCUUUCUCUAAUCUACUAUGCAUUUCAAUUAAGAUUAUAAUCGCCACCACACCCACACCGCCACACGCACCAUAUUGGAAACAUGUACUUCAGUGUUUUCAGUUUUCUUAUAUUAUUUCAGUGGAAAACCCUGAUUUUAAUAAAAAACUAUUAGUUGCCAUGGUUGAGGUUUUUUGAGUAGGUAUCCAACCAACCAUGUCGAAGGUCUUCUUAAUUGAAAUCACUGAGUAUAACUACUAUGGUGCCUGGCAAACAACUUGGACCUGAAGCAGUGUCAUGGGAGCAAGUUGGUGAAUCCCGGAAGAGAAGGUCGAUGUAUCAACCAAUCGCCUGCACCCGCGCCGACGAUCAACCAAUCGCGUGCACCCGCCAUUCGUCAGCCAAUUGCGUCAAUGCUCAAGUUGUUUGCCGGGCACUCUACUAAGCUUUCGUUACCGGCGCACUUUUGCAUCGGUAAAUCAAGAAACGGUCUAAGAAUAGAUUCACAUUUAUACAAAGUCAUGAUGUACAAUUUCCAUAGCCAGAAAACGACCAAAAGUUAUUUUCUCGGUAUAAUAAUUCGCUUCGCUUUUACUCCGUGCCAAUGUGAAUCGAUCCUAAGGCCGGCCGCAAUACAGAAAUUGCCCUUUUCAGAUGGCACUCCGCAAAUUGUCAGAAUAUAACCGUAUCGAUCGUACAUCCGCUUCUGAUAUUCGCUAGUUCAGGCCAACCAGCAAAUAUCAGAUAGCUAGAUCAGAAUGUCGGGACUUGAAAGCUGCACUCCCCACACUCACUCUACACUCUUUCUCUCGUACUAGACUCUGCAAACCAUCAACCGGACGAUUCAAAACACUAGAUUCGGUGUCGGAAUCAAGUGUUCUUAAUCGCCCGACAGAUCAGAGAUCAGCUCGCGGCGAAUGCAAACUGAGCUUAGAUUCACCAAAGCGUUUCUGAUAAUAUGCGGGAGCGUCAGUAAGGGCUUGAAGAUUUUGGGUUGCCUAGUAGCCCAUCAUUUUACGUUUUUCCACACAAGCGGCCACACAUAAAACCUAUAUUAAUCAAUAGCUGGCAUCAAUACAAACAAGUACUGUAUGAAACAAAAUCUUUCAAAGCGUCACAUUGCUAUCAAAGUUGUACUGGUAGCGUCACCAGUACAAGAGUCUACUAGCCAUAUCUAUGCUACUAGCCACCAAUACAACUUUGAUAGCUCAUAGCUCAGAAAUAUGACUUUUUGAAAGAUUUUGUCUCAUAGAAUCUUUUAAUUAAAAAAAAAUGGUGGAGUACUAGGUAGGCCAGGUUCCUUGAAUAUUCAAACCCCUUUUAUGAUAAUUUCUAAUAACAUGCGGCCGGCCUAAAGGUGCAAAUAAAAUAAUGUGGAAUAUAUUUGGGUUUUUAAAAGAUUCUUUCUUUGCCUACGUCAUUAAGUUUCUAACACCCCAGCGGUUUAGGUUAUGUGUUGAUCGAUUAGUCAGUCAGUCAGGACUCCGACCUCCGAUCACCUUAGGACACACUACGACACAGUAGUUUAGUUGCACCAUAAGCUUGCACAAUAGCAACAAAAUAAAACAGCAAUCUACAUACUUUAACGAUUUUAUUUAAAUAUUUUUACAACCAAAAUACGUAAAAAUACGUAAUACGUAAGUAGUUCUUUCCUAUAACCAUUAUUAUCUAUGGUUCGUUUCAAUAGAUAAAGAUUCAAACUUUAUUACAUUUCAUGUUAAGUAUAAUAAUAAUUUUACUUGUAUAAUUUAAUGAAAUUCAUGGUUUUUGGUACUUAAUGAUUUUUUUUACAAAACAGGAACUAUGGCAAUUUUUUUGUGCAACCCUUUUCCCCCCAUUAUAUGGGAUUGUAAGUGGUCAAACCACGCGAAUAACGUAAUACUAAUUAGAAAGAUCAAUAAAUUAAGUUUUACUAUAAAAAUAGGUCAAUGAAAAAGUGAUAGUAGGUUGAUGAAAAUAUAUGCCGUGUAAAAUAGCAGGCAGAAACUAGUGUAAUAAAACAGUGCUUGUAAUAGAAAUUUUCAUUUAAAUGUAAAUGAAACGCCUUUAAUUAUAUGUAUAAAUAAGUAUUCAUGUCCUUUUGUGCGUUAGUGAAAUUUUUUUAAAUUAAAAAUCUCAAAAAUCUUAAUCUCAUCUUAAAAUAAACAAAAAUCUCUAACUAAGCAAAUCAUGUUACACAUGUUUAACAAUAAAAUUAUAAAACUUUUACUGUUUCAUAGUAAAAUAGAGAGUUAUAGUUACAAAAGCAUAUAAAUAAAGCACAAUUUAUGGAUCUAGAUACGACAAAUACUGGCAAAAAAAACAAACAUUGCUUCAAAACACAAAAUUAGUCAGGCUGCAUGGUCUACGACCUUUGCCUUUCCUGAAGGGGAUAAAAAUAAAAUUAAUAACAAACAAAAUUAGCUAACAUAUGCAUAAAACUACAAAAACUUAUGUUUUAUUGUAAUAUUUUUGGCUAUCUACAAUCCAUACGAUUUUGGCACUAGAUUCAUUUUUUCUGUACAAAAAAGUACACCUAAACAUUAAUUGAUCUUGUCAUCCUUUUCU